GACACAUGAGGACGUCUCACACGAUAGAAUUCAGUCAGAUUGAGAGCCACAAGCCCUGAAAAGGCUUGUGUAUGCAUUAGCCCAUGUAGACUGUCAGUGACCCCGGGCAGGGCAUAUCUUUGGGUUUCUGUUACAGGCUGCCCUCGUGGCCAGGGGUGAUCUGUGAAAGUGUUGCUUGGGUGCUCUAAGUUAGCUAAUCUCAAGAUCACUUUUAGGUGAGCGCUCAUUCAAAAAUAAUGGUAUAUAACCUCUUA